AGUAACACGUAGAUAACCUACCUAUAAGACUGGGAUAACUUCGGGAAACCGGAGCUAAUACCGGAUAACAUGUUGAACCGCAUGGUUCAACAGUGAAAGACGGUCUUGCUGUCACUUAUAGAUGGAUCCGCGCCGCAUUAGCUAGUUGGUAAGGUAGCGGCUUACCAAGGCAACGAUGCGUAGCCGACCUGAGAGGGUGAUCGGCCACACUGGAACUGAGACACGGUCCAG
rnacentral:rRNA from 1 species